rnacentral:rRNA from 1 species
CGGACGGGUGAGUAACGCGUGGAUAACCUGCCUCACACUGGGGAUAACAGUUAGAAAUGGCUGCUAAUACCGCAUAAGCGCACAGUACCGCAUGGUACGGUGUGAAAAACCCAGGUGGUGUGAGAUGGAUCCGCGUCUGAUUAGCCAGUUGGCGGGGUAACGGCCCACCAAAGCGACGAUCAGUAGCCGACCUGAGAGGGUGACCGGCCACAUUGGGACUGAGACACGGCCCAA